AGUGUCCUCUCACCAGCAGCAGCUGCCAUCUCCUGAUUCAGGUUUGGAAUGCAGUGUAAGUUUUGCAAAUUUGUGAACAGUAGCUGAGAAGUUACACUACAGACUACAUCGCUAUCAAGGACCAUCCUGGCAGCAGCCUUGUUUGUUCGCAGACUGCUUCUGCACUUUAAAGACUCUGAUGUCCGAAAACAGUGGCCUGCAUGUUUUUGGGAGUUUAGG